CAGCUCCUGCCUUCGGGUUCCUGCCCUGUUCCUGUUCCAGUUCCUGUCCCGACUUCCGUCAGAGAUGGAGUACAAUAUGGAAGUCAUGGGCUCCAGGCAUUGGACACAGGUCAUCAGCAUUGGUGUCAAGUGUCUUUACCGGCACACCAUCUGACUGGCCCCAAAUGCAUCAGGAGUGGACAGUUGACUUCCUUAUGCACAAAGACCCCAUGCUGAGGGACCAGGUGACACCAGCUGAAGAAGUCGACACAGGAUGGAUCAUCUGAAAGGACAAAGCAUUUAGCCUAUCAGCCAGGGCUUCAGCCCUCUUUACUAAGAUGAGGACCUAUGGAACAGAGACCUAGCCCUGCUGCUUUGUCCCCCUGUGUGUUCUCCUCAUGAGCCAUAUGAACAUUGUCAUGGAGCUGGACAGAAGUUUGUAUUGCAAGCUCUGAGUGCGGGAGGCUUCUGAUGGAGCAGACAACUUGAGGAAGGCCGGCCUUGCUGCAUACAGUGGACAGAUCGGGUCUGGACCCCUCCCCCACAGGUGACCGUGCACUGCCAAGGAGGG